AUCGAACGCUGGCGGCAGGCCUAACACAUGCAAGUCGAGCGAUCGGAGGACGGGUGAGUAAUGUCUGGGAAACUGCCUGAUGGAGGGGGAUAACGACUGGAAACGGUAGCUAAUACCGCAUAACAUCAGAUGUGCCCAGCUGGGAUUAGCUAGAAGGUGGGGUAACGGCUCACCUAGGCGACGAUCCCGAGCUGGUCUGAGAGGAUGACCAGCCACACUGGAACUGAGACACGGUCCAGACUCCUACGGGAGGCAGCAGUGGGGAAUAUUGCACAAUGGGCGCAAGCCUGCUGCAGCCAUGCCGCGUGUGUGAAGAAGGCCUUCGGGUUGUAAAGCACUUUCAGCGGGGAGGCGUUACCCGCAGAAGAAGCACCGGCUAACUCCGUGCCAGCAGCCGCGGUAAUUC
rnacentral:rRNA from 1 species